GGGAAGGGGCAAAGGCAGGGUUUGGCUGCAGGAGCAGGCACCUGCCUGCAGCUGUGUGUGUGUGGGGAGCCUGGUUUUGCCUGAAAUCACUUCCUUUUGGUGUUGAGGGGUGGGGGUGCUGCGUGGUGUGGUGGGUUGUGCUGAGAGCCCACGACCCCAGGCUGGCCAGCAGCCAUUGCUCGGUGCCCCCAGCCCACAUUUGGGUGGGCUGGGACCCUGCUGGGGCUCCCUUUUCAGAGCAGCUCUGACUGUAGCUUGCCCCAGGGCCAGGAGCCCCGCUGGAAACCCUCCAAACGCCCCCGUGCUGCCUUCUGCUGCUGGCUGGGGCUUCGCCUCGAGCGGCUCUACCCAAAGGCAUCUGCAAGGAGACGACGUCGCCGCUCCCUGCGGGCAGGCAGCCAGCCCGGAUUGCUUCCUCGGCCACCGCAGCUGGCAAUUAAACCCCGGCGAUCGCCAGCAACCCCUGCCUGACCCAGCUGCUGUGCCGAAGCGCCCCGACCUGGCAUUAUCGUGGCUGCUUUUGUGCAGCAAAUAACAGCUCCAGAAACGCCGUGAUGUUUGGGAACACCGCAGCGCCCACCUCUCUUGCCUGUGCUCCCUCAUGCAGGACUGAAGACGCGGCGUGACUUUCCAUUCCCUUCUUAUCUCUGUCCCCAGAGGACGUCGUUAUUUCUGCUCAGACUAUUCAAGCACAAACGUUUGAUGGUAGCCCCGCUGCAGGAAGCCAUCUGAAGACAUUUGGGAGAGCGGAGGGCGGUGAGCGCAGGUGGGGCGCAGAUUUCCUCUCCCCCCUUGCAGCCACACGAGCAAUCGCACUCCAGGUAACGCUGCCAGCAGAGCAAGCAGCAGGAGACGAGCUCGCUGCUUGGCUAUUACACAAGCAAACCACCAAGAGUCGGAGCCCAGCCGGAUCCAUCCCCAGCACAUGCAUUAUCCCCUACCAGCACUGCCAAGGAACGAGGAGGUUUUGUGGUUGUUUGCAUCCCAUGGAGGCAACUAAGAUGGCAGGAGAAGCUGGCUGUUUGGAGGCAGGAGCAGCAGACAGGAGCCGGGCUUUCUUGGCUGCGGCAGGGGACGCACAGAGGGCCCUGAGCUCCAGCCCGGCGGCCCCGUGGCACGGUUAAAUUGAUUGAACGAUAUCAGUCAGCAUCCACAGAAAUGUCAGGAGGUACUUUAGCACAUCCAGGCCACGCACGAGUGUAUCAUAUUCUGACCUCUGUUAACUGUGGCAUUGAUUAAUUCAGGGUUUCCCUCAGCCAGGGGAAUACACAGCACACUGUUUAUAAACACACACAAACACCACGGACGAUACCGAAGGCAGCACACACGCAACACUGAGCACCACCAAACCCACGCAGGACACACGCAAACACGAAGCCAGGAGUCACACGGAUGCCCAGAGGGGCUGCAGCCUCGCACCUGGGGAGCUGGGGAAUUGAAUAUCCCUGCGGUGCCUGUUAGCGCUGCACGUUCUGCUGCCUGCUCUUCAGCUCCAGGAAAUAAUUAGCUUUAUUUCCAGUCUGCUACCAAAAAAAUGCACAUCCCAGUGACCUUCAAAACCGCUGAACAUUACACUGCAAAAUGUAUGCGUUGUACAUGCUGCUAGAGAAUGAUGAGUAGGAAAUACACUUUUUUAAGCAAGUAUUGAAGAGAACACUAUUUCUUACAACAUUUCGGUUCCAGCUGCUGCUACCCUGCUGGCUAGCACCAAGCAGCACGAGGAGAGCAGCUUCUUCGCUGGGUUUCUGUAGGAGCCCUUCUCCAAUGUAACUUCCUGGAAAUUGUCACAAGGAAUGGCUUUGAAGCGCACAUUAGAAUAAUACCCAGACAAUAAUGGCAAAAACAUGGUUCAGAAAUGAAAAGGAGAGCAUUAUGAAGCCUAAGUGGCGUUUUCUUGCCCAUUACUGCAAUCAUCACCGCUGCAGAGUAUUUAAAUAUUUUAGGAAACAGAAGAGGCCUUCUUGGUCGGCAGCGCGAGGCCGGCGUUAAUGGGUUUUGGUUUGCUCUGCCUCCCCUCCGAGUGACUGCGUGGCGCUGGUGCUGUUUAGCAACACGAUCAGGUCAGCGACGGCAACUUGCUGCGCUUCUCCUGCUGCUUUUUGCACGCUCCCAUUGCAGGGAGCC
rnacentral:lncRNA from 1 species